ACUAGAAUGCCAGCUUUGGGUGUUGGUGGUGAAGUUGGGUGCUUUCUUUCUGA
rnacentral:tRNA from 1 species